rnacentral:tRNA from 1 species
UGGGGCGUUAGCUCAGUUGGUAGAGCAGUGGCCUUUUAAGCCAUUUGUCACAGGUUCGAAUCCUGUACGCCCUAU